AACGAACGCUGGCGGCAUGCCUAACACAUGCAAGUCGAACGAGACCUUCGGGUCUAGUUGCGCACGGGUGCGUAACGCGUGGGAACCUGCCCUUAGGUUCGGAAUAACUCCCCUAAAGGGGUGCUAAUACCGGAUAAUUUCUUCGGACCAAAGAUUUAUCGCCUUUGGAUGGGCCCGCGUUGGAUUAGCUAGUUGGUAGGGUAAAAGCCUACCAAGGCGACGAUCCAUAGCUGGUCUGAGAGGAUGAUCAGCCACACUGGGACUGAGACACGGCCCAGACUCCUACGGGAGGCAGCAGUGGGGAAUAUUGGACAAUGGGCGAAAGCCUGAUCCAGCAAUGCCGCGUGAGUGAUGAAGGCCUUAGGGUUGUAAAGCUCUUUUACCCGGGAUGAUAAUGACAGUACCGGGAGAAUAAGCUCCGGCUAACUCCGUG
rnacentral:rRNA from 1 species